GUUCCUGUAGUUAAGUAAAUAACGGUGGUUUUUCAAGCCAUUAUUCUUGGUUUAAGUCCGGGCGGGAAUU
rnacentral:tRNA from 2 species